GAUGAACGCUGGCGGCGUGCCUAAUACAUGCAAGUCGAGCGAACAGACGAGGAGCUUGCUCCUCUGACGUUAGCGGCGGACGGGUGAGUAACACGUGGAUAACCUACCUAUAAGACUGGGAUAACUUCGGGAAACCGGAGCUAAUACCGGAUAAUAUAUUGAACCGCAUGGUUCAAUAGUGAAAGACGGUUUUGCUGUCACUUAUAGAUGGAUCCGCGCCGCAUUAGCUAGUUGGUAAGGUAACGGCUUACCAAGGCAACGAUGCGUAGCCGACCUGAGAGGGCGAUCGGCCACACUGGAACUGAGACACGGUCCAGACCCCUACGGGAGGCAGCAGUAGGGAAUCUUCCGCAAUGGGCGAAAGCCUGACGGAGCAACGCCGCGUGAGUGAUGAAGGUCUUCGGAUCGUAAAACUCUGUUAUUAGGGAAGAACAAAUGUGUAAGUAACUAUGCACGUCUUGACGGUACCUAAUCAGAAAGCCACGGCUAACUACGUG
rnacentral:rRNA from 1 species